UGGGGAAUAUUGCACAAUGGGGGAAACCCUGAUGCAGCAACGCCGCGUGAAGGAAGACGGUUUUCGGAUUGUAAACUUCUGUUCUUAGUGAAGAAUAAUGACGGUAGCUAAGGAGCAAGCCACGGCUAACUACGUGCCAGCAGCCGCGGUAAUACGUAGGGGGCAAGCGUUAUCCGGAAUUACUGGGUGUAAAGGGAGCGCAGGCGGGAGACCAAGUCAGCUGUGAAAACUACGGGCUUAACCUGUAGACUGCAGUUGAAACUGGUUUCUUGAGUGAAGUAGAGGUUGGCGGAAUUCCGAGUGUAGCGGUGAAAUGCGUAGAUAUUCGGAGGAACACCGGUGGCGAAGGCGGCCAACUGGGCUUUAACUGACGCUGAGGCUCGAAAGUGUGGGGAGCAAACAGGAUUAGAUACC
rnacentral:rRNA from 1 species